CCGGGCGCCGCGGGGAAGGAGGAAGAGCUACAGCUCCACGCGCCCCGCUCGGGACCUGGGGUGUCACCCCGUCCAGGACAGCACCUGCACCCGGGUCUGGCUUCAGUCGCCCCCAGUUUCAUUGCACGAAAGGACCUCUCUGGGGAUUUAGGGAGCGACGGGACCACGCAAGCACUCUUUAUUUACAAGAAUUGGAGGACCUGCCCUCCGUCCCGCGCCAGCUGCGAGCGUCCCGGGACUCACCGCUGCUCAGCUCGUAGCCAAAGAGAGGGCUGGUGUCAGGCGGGGCGGCGGCGGCCGCCAGGCAGUUCCAUCUCUCGUAUCUGAACUGGCUCCUGCACUCCUGAAUGCCCAGACGGGCGCCCUCGCAGAUGCUCGGCAGCAGACAAUGUAAAAAGGCCAGCCGUAGUAGGGGCUCUCAGCAGCCUUCUCCUCGCGAGCUGGGAGCAGCGUGAGGAAGUUGGGAAAGUAGCUUGGGGCACUCCUCCCGAGACGAGUUGAAGAUGUGCCGGAGAUGCGGGAGCGUCCCUCGCAUUCCAAGGAGAAUAAUCUUUUUGAGUCAGAGUUGCUACCAAAAAAUUGACCUUUCAACAUCCUGCUUGAGGUCUCAACGUUUCAGGAGACUUUAGAGAAUGAGUAAAAUACUUGUCAAGCUUGAGAUCGAUCAUCGUCUGUGCAGGCAUUUACUUUUAUCGAAAGGGAAGAUUCCAGCCUAGCAUCGAAUCUACCAUAUUUAAAUUGUGUUAGGUGAUUUCGUUUUACGAUUUUGCUUAUUUUCCGUAGUCUUUGAGGGCACUGUCAGAAGAUGGAGGGCACAGAGAGAAUGCGAGUGAGAGCUGUCUGGAGAGCUCUAGAAAGAUGCGGGCUGUGUUCUUUCCCUUCUCUCCAAUGCACACUAUGUCUCUGUUGGAGACUUUGGACAGGGCUACACAUUGAAGACAAAUUUUAAAAGCUUACUUAUGAAACACCUACUGUGUGUCCACUAUUGUGAGAAUUUAUGAAGAUCCCUUCCCUUAAAGGCACAGCCUUUCUGGCCUUGUCUCCAGCCAUGGAGACAAGUCUGAAACAAAAUAAUUUGAGAUUAUCAGUAAAGGAAAGUAUAGAAUCCAGCAAGUUACUCUCUGGAGCCAAAGAGUUCGGAAGCAGGAGAAUGUUCUGGUGCCUGGAAGUUUAGAGAGUUUAGUUAACCAGUGUUUUCCAGGUUAGAAGAUCUCUGGGGAAAACUCUGAAUUCAGGCGGCACAUGCGUAGCUGCGGUGUCAGAAAACCCUGUCUCAACUAGUUGGUGACAGGAAAUGUUUAUGAGGGGCAUCACCUGCUCCUCAGAGGACUUCUGAAAUGUUAGUAAACUCUCAGGGUAUACCACCUUAGUGGGUUCCAAAAUCUAGACUUACUCAAAUUAAAGAUUUACUUUAUUAGCUUUAUCCUCAAAUAAAUGAUUUUAUUUGCUGCAUGUCUCCUAUAUCAGC